rnacentral:rRNA from 1 species
CAGAACGAACGCUGGCGGCAGGCUUAACACAUGCAAGUUGAACGGGAUUUGGUGGUAGCUUGCUAUCAUUAAUGAGAGUAGCGCACUGGUGAGUAACACGUGGGAACAUGCCUUUUGGUGGGGGACAACAGUUGGAAACGGCUGCUAAUACCGCAUAAGCCCGGGAGGGGAAAGAUUUAUUGCCGAAAGAUUGGCCCGCGGAAGAUUAGGUAGUUGGUGGGGUAAAGGCCUACCAAGCCGACGAUCUAUAGCUGGUCUGAGAGGACGAACAGCCACAUUGGAACUGAGACACGGUCCAGACUCCUACGGGAGGCAGCAGUGAGGAAUAUUGGGCAAUGGAGGAAACUCUGAACCCCAGCCAUGCCGCGUGAGUGAAGAAGGUUUUCGAAUUGUAAAGCUCUUUCGGGUGUGACGAUGAUGACGGUAACACCUAAAGAAGCCCCGGCAAACUUCGUGCCAGCAGCAGC